ensembl:lncRNA
UGCGUAAUUGUGAUUUAGAAAAGCUAGUACUGAACCGCGUACAUUUGUGCCUUUCGUUCAAGCCACACUUAACACUUUUCACAUCCACAGUGUCGAGUCACAUUAGCGAGGUAGCGCUUGAUGUGCUAACGAGCGACUGUGGAGCAUAAUCUUAUUUGGCAAUGGGUCCAAGUGCUUAAAACUGGACGAUCGAAGGAUUAAACCAAACAGACAUUGAACUAACAGCUGAAGAUGGUACGGUGAAGAAAUACCACAGAGAGAUCUCGAAGCUGUCCUCAACAGCAGCUAAACUCACCGAGCUGACUAUAGAGGCCUGUCCAGACUUUUCUCCUAAUCUUUUUGAAUACUCAAGUAAGUUGUUUUGUUUAUUUCGAAAUCCCUCCAGGACCAUGUUUCAGCAUACACUCGUUGGACAUUUUAUCAGGUGCAGCCACCAUACAAUUACUGACACACUGUAGCUUUUGUUGUCCUGCACCUCUACCCUACAGGUUCCCAAUCCUGGUCCUGGUCCUGUCCUGCACAUUUGAGUGUUUUUCCUGCUCUAAAACAGCUGAUUUGAUGAGAUCAUUAACAGGUUCCUGAGUUGAAGUGGGCUUGUUAAAGCACUUAAAACACUACAAUGCUCAGGGCAGGGUUACACCAGCACUCGGGUUGGAAACCAGUGCUUCAUCCUGUCAAUAGAACCACCGUAGGACCACCGCUGUCCAGAUAUUAUUUCCUCAUCUCACUGUCAUGUCCGGGAUUGAUUUUAAACACAUAAAAGCCACUGCAGGAUUUAUAAUAGAUCACCAAACUAAAAGAACACACUGACACUGGUGACCCUCCAGCUGUACAGCUAUAAGGUAGACCAACAUUGUGAGUAUGUCUAAAGUAGACCACUCUAUAAGGUAGACCAACAAUGAGUGAGCAUGUCUCUCAGUCUCAUAAUGUGAAGGUCGUGAGUUCGAUCCUCACACAGCGCAUGAAUGUGUUGAACAAUGGACUCUUCUCUCUUCUCCCUGUUG